UUUCAUUCUCAUUCAUUAUCACCACCACCAAUCCUCCAUCUCUCUCUCUCUCUCUCUCUCUCUCUCACCCCCCUUAAAGCUAGGCGAUACUCUUGGGGGAUAAGAGAUCACUAGAGAUACACGAGCGAUACACAAGAUAUAUUCCUCAGAGAGUUCAUGAAGCUAGAUGGGGAAGCUUUUCUUUUGAGGGGAAUGUUGUCUGGCUCGAGGACACUUUAUUUGAUCCAUUUUUUUUGUUAUCGAUCCAAUAUAUACUACCAAUUGAGGAUGAUAUUUUGGUCAUGUUUCAGUGUCGUCGGACCAGGCUUCAUUCCCCCCAAUUUUAUGCUUCCAUGGAGUUAUGCCAUCAUGGUCUACAUGCAAAGAUAAGAAGUCUCUGAGUUUUAGCACCAAAGGAUGAGCUGACUUCCUUCUUCAUUAAUUCUGGAAGUAAAAGGCUAGACAUGAAGGAGCAUAUAUUAUGCAAGUGUAACACAUGCCUAACAAGCUAGUCAUGACUAUUCAGGUUGAAAAAGUAGUAAGCAUUUACAUAUAUUUUUGUGCUUGUGUUUGUGUCGUACAUUUUAAGAAUCAAUGAUCAAAUCCGACAGAAAAAUCAGUUCUGGAUUUUAGUGUUUGGAUCGUCGUUCUUUACUUGCAUUUCCUUUAAUCCCGCUGGUCUCAUUGCUCAUUGGAGCUCAUGUGUGGAAGAGACGUUCACAAGGAGAAAAUAGUUGAUUAGAAAGAUUGGCAAAAGCGCUACAUAUCUACGCCUCUAGGGCAUAGGGUAAUUAACACGUAUCAUCACCUUCUCUCUCUCUCUCUCUCACACACACACAGGCACCUGUGCUCCAUCGAUCCUUCACGUAACCAUGUAUAAAGGGUAUGUUUGAUGCGGCAUAAAUGUGAUGAUAUAAAGGUGACAAGUAUUUUUGUGUUUUA